GGGAAAUAGAGCAAUAACAGGUCUGUGAUGCCCUUAGAUGUCCGGGGCCGCACGCGCGCUACAAUGACGGUGUCAACGAGUUAGACCUUCUGGCCCGAAAGGGUUGGGCAAACUGGUCAAUCACCGUCGUGACAGGGAUCGGGGCUUGGAAUUGUUCCCCGUGAACGAGGAAUUCCUAGUAAGUGCAAGUCAUAAGCUUGCGCUGAUUACGUCCCUGCCCUUUGUACACACCGCCCGUCGCUACUACCGAUUGAAUGGUUUAGUAAGGUCCUUGGAUCGGCGCCAUUGUGGUGACCGCCGAGCUGGUGUGGCGAAAUAGACACAACGAUGAGAACUGCC
rnacentral:rRNA from 1 species